rnacentral:rRNA from 1 species
UACGUAGGGGGCUAGCGUUGUCCGGAAUCAUUGGGCGUAAAGCGCGUGUAGGCGGUCCGGUAAGUCCGCUGUGAAAGUCGAGGGCUCAACCCUCGAAUGCCGGUGGAUACUGUCGGGCUUGAGUACGGGAGAGGCGAGUGGAAUUCCUGGUGUAGCGGUGAAAUGCGCAGAUAUCAGGAGGAACACCUAUUGCGAAGGCAGCUCGCUGGGACGUAACUGACGCUGAGACGCGAAAGCGUGGGGGAGCAAACAGG